rnacentral:lncRNA from 10 species
CGUGCUUACAGAUUAGUUAUGUAUAAAGUAUAAAGACAGACUGCCUGGACUCAAUGUGAUAAAUCUCUGAAUAUGAGAGGAAAAAAAUUGUGUACAAAACAGCAAACGUAAGUUGUGGGGAGUCUUGUCUAAUGGGACCAGCAAAUGUUUCAGCCAAGACAUUGAUCAUACCAAGCCUUGAUAACAAAUGCUGGAUCUUAAUGGGUCUUCCCUCCGGGAAAAACUAAUUCAAUCAGAGGAAAUAAAAAUGGAUCACACUUGCUUCUUCUCUCAAUUUUACAGUGUUAACUGGCAGCUCCAGGGGUGAGCCCAAAAUAAUUCCACACACAGCUGUAACAAAGUAGACAGCACCAUGUAACAAUUGGGUCUCCAUUUCUUAUCACUAUGGACAUGGACAUCUUAGACCACAGUGCUAUAGGCAUUUGCUCCCUAAACUCACUGCUGAUGCUCGGAACAGUUUUUGUUGAGGCGACUGCAAACAUGGCGGAAGCAGCACAGCGGACCGGUCGGUGAUUAACGGUGUGAGGCACAGUCCAAUUCCUUCAUUAACAUUUGGCGUUCCAAGGCAGAGGUUUCAAAGUGUUUAUAGUCAAAGAAAUCCUUCUUCAAACAAAGUCUAAUGCAGAAACCCAGUACAUCAAACAGAAGAGUGAAGGCGCCCUGUUUGAGGGGAUCAUGGUGGAAAAGAUGGGGAUGGGAUGGAGGGGUGGGGAGCGCUACUUAAAAUGGGUUGCUGCCCUAGGGGCACCUCGGCAGCCCCUGAGAUUCUAAGGAGCAGUUUAAGAACCUCCAGUGGGAGGGGUUUAUCACAUUCUGUGCACGAUGCUUUGGAAUGUUAACCAAAAAUAUCACAAAUUUAUAAAUUGUGAGGAGAGGAGAUUUUAUUUCUUGUAAAGGGUUACAGCCUGCAAGGUGGCCAUCCUGCAGGCUCAGAAGUGUGCCUCUGGCCAAGACCGGAGUCAGGCACUUCGAAGGAGGAGGGGCUGGGACAGAAGCUUCAUGCUGGACAGGGUGGCCAAACAUACGUAUUCAACAGGUUACAGGAAGAACUACGAAUAUUCAUGAAGGUAGUCCCGACACAUGCAUAUUGAACAAACAUGCAUGUAACAUACAACCCAGGUUCACUUUGGGGUGGAGAUUUAACAUUUAAAUGUAUUAAAAUUAGGCCCCAUACCUCAAAAGGUCUUUUCAGGACAUGAAGGCGGAUGAAUGUACUUUCUGCAAACCAGCCAGAACCAGUCCAUGGCCGGUGGUCUCUUAUCAGGAGAAAGUUACUGGAGUCAGUCUCCCAUCCAAUCAAAGCUGUAGUUACGGCUGGUGCAACAGGGGUCAGUUACUCAGCGUCCGUGAGCUGGGUUACCGAGGAGACCUCAAAUCAGGGUGGAGAAGAAUGAAGAACAUAGCAGACAGAUGAAGUAGGCCUGGUGGUGCUCUGAGCAGAACAAAUCCUAAGGCCAGGUUAGACUAGCUUUGCACUGUUUCCCUCGUGUCUAGAUUUCUGAAGGAUGAGUCUUUUGAUUUGUUUCUAACCUGCUUAAAAGAGAUGGGGAGGCGGAGGAAGCAAGGAGCCGAGGUGCAGCCGGAUGCCUCCCAGGAUGAAUAAUGGCAACAAGAAACAGAGUUCUUAAAGCCCAGAUGAUAAGGGCCUCAGUCUGGGUGUGAAUGAACUUGGCCUGACUUCUUUGCUGCCGUCAUAUGAACCGGAAGGAGACAGCUUAGAUAGAGCAAGCCUGCUCCUUCCAGAAGCACGAGGGUCCUGUGGCGGUUUUUGCUUCAAACACCGCAGAACACAGAGCAAACCCCAUGACGCCGUCCUUCAACUAAACAGCCCAAAGCAGCAAACUAGAGGUUUCCAUUUUUAGUUUGCAAGGGGAACAACUGAGCUUUCAUGAGUUGGAAUUUGCUAACGUAAAUUGAGCCUUUGUAAGAGGGCUGAAAUUGACCCUGGAGACGGAAAGCACAGGAAAUAUUUGCUGUGGUCGGUGGGAGAGGACGCUCCGCAGACAAAGCCGCCUGCUUCUCCCGUCAGGCCUGCCUCCUCUCUAGGCAAAUAUUGGAGGGAUGACUUUUUUAUUUGCAGAGAGGAUUUGGCUAAUUUUGUUUUAUUUGUGUACCUUACAUUCAUGGAGCACUCUGCACAGUCUGUUGGAUAAUCUCUAAUUAUUCCUUUCCUCUUCACACCUGUGAGGCCGAUGCUCAGCAUAUUUCAGAGGAAGCUGGCACCAGGGAUGAGGGAAUCUGCCCAAGCAUGAGUCACCUGGAAUAUUAAACCAGAACCAACACACAAAUGAUCUGUGCAAAGAGGCAGCACCAUUGAAGUGUGUUUGACAGACAGAACUACUGUUUUGAAUCAACCCUCUGAGAUGUCUAAAUCAGCCUGUCAGACUUUGCUCCCUCUAUCACGUUUCCCAAGAAGAGGAUCAGAGAUAAAGAGAAAUAUGGAAAUUUGGAGUAAAAGAAUACUUUCACCACCUUGGACAUUGUCUCCUGCCUUUCUGGACAUCCACACAGCCCUGUGAUAUGCCUUGGAGCUGAGUUUUACCUCUUUGUGUGAUAUUUCUUUCCUGGGAAAGGCUCACACCACCUUGGAGCUUUGCAAUUUCGGCUUGUAGGUCCUCACUUAUAAAUCCAUUCACUCCCAGAGUCUACAUUGAAAUGAUUUCUUUUGCUGUGUCUCCACUGCUGGCUGUAGCCCCUUGAAGGAGGGAGCUGGCUUUACCAUGCCUGGCCUUGCAUAAAGUGCAACCUGAUGCUUAAUACAUACUGACUAGGUAAGCACAACCACUUCCAGAGCUAAUUCCAGCCUUUUCUCCUGCUCCCUGAUAACUCUACCUUCAUACCAGGACAGCAUUCUCAGAAAUCAUUUUAACCACGAAGACUUUUGUUCAAAUGAAACAGAAUAAGUAUAAACUAGAAAAAGUGCAAAUAUAUAGACAACUGUUAUUUUUUCUAAGUAAUCACCCAAACCCUCACCUCAUCUAUUAACCAAAAACUCCAGUGUGUUUCAUAUGAAGCCUCCCUUCCGAAAGAAAAUAAUCACAAACAACAACAACAACAACAACAACAACAACAUAUCUUCUAGGACCCCAGGGGUGACUGCCCAGAGUCUCAGCCUGGCUACCUGCUGGGCCCCUGCAUGGCUGCUGCAGCUGGACUUUGGAGAGCACAGUGGACCUUCCCCACUGCUGCCAGGAGCCUUCCCAGGGAUGAAUUCCUCCUCUGACGAACAAGGAUUUUGAGACAAGAGAGAUCCCCUUGGCCAAGGAUGCCCCAACCAGGGCUCACAAGGCCGCUGUUCUGAGUGUUCCACUUGGUUCCCAACCCCAGCUGGCCCCAACAGGUACCAUGGAGCCUCCCAACCACCAUCCUUCCCUCCCUGGGCUCCACCCCAACCUCAGGCAGCUUUUCCUUUUACACCUACAAAACACAAAGAGCCUAGCUGCCCUCAUCCCCUUCCUUAGACCACGGCACUCCCCUCCCACCCUCCCAAGGGUAGCCCCUCUUUGUCUCUCUUCUGGGUGAGAUUGCCUUCCUGAAUCCGUGGUGACCGAGGAAAGGAAACAUCUCACAAGCUGUUCACAAGGCCACCUCAGUGCCCCAGAAAGCCUGACAAGCACAGAUAAAUUAAAGCCAUCCUUCUGGGGGUAACAGAGGGGACUCCUGUCCUGCCCUGGUCCCAGGGCUUCCCAGAGCAGUCUGUGAAUCACUGCCUAUGUGGCGCUUAUGCUUCCUGAGCCAUUGACUCCUCCAUCCCAAGGGUCUUUGGAGACUCCAUCUCAUCCUCAGGUACCAGUCUUUGGAGUUCUUUCUUGCCACAGGCAAGAGAAUUUGGGGUCAUUUGAUUUGCUCAGAUGGUGCCAUGGUAAAGAGGACAACUCCAGGCAGCUUCAUGUCUCCUCUGCUGACGGGCAGAUUGUGUCCUGGCAGGAGAUCAUCUGCUGUGUUUGCUACCCAGGAGGCUCCCACACUUCACCAUCAGAACAGCGCCCCUGGCUUAGGAUUCUUGGCACCCUAGGGGUCAGCCCUUUUGUGUCUGUUUUUGCUCCUCUACGGUAAUCUUUUCAUGCAGCCUCGAGUUAACAGCACUUGUUUCCUUACCUGUCUCCAUCCCAAGGCGGUGGACCUCUUUGAGGACUGGAGCAUUUUCC